rnacentral:rRNA from 1 species
AGAGUAACGGAGGAGCACGAAGGUUGGCUAAUCCUGGUCGGACAUCAGGAGGUUAGUGCAAUGGCAUAAGCCAGCUUGACUGCGAGCGUGACGGCGCGAGCAGGUGCGAAAGCAGGUCAUAGUGAUCCGGUGGUUCUGAAUGGAAGGGCCAUCGCUCAACGGAUAAAAGGUACUCCGGGGAUAACAGGCUGAUACCGCCCAAGAGUUCAUAUCGACGGCGGUGUUUGGCACCUCGAUGUCGGCUCAUCACAUCCUGGGGCUGAAGUAGGUCCCAAGGGUAUGGCUGUUCGCCAUUUAAAGUGGUACGCGAGCUGGGUUUAGAACGUCGUGAGACAGUUCGGUCCCUAUCUGCCGUGGGCGCUGGAGAACUGAGGGGGGCUGCUCCUAGUACGAGAGGACCGGAGUGGACGCAUCACUGGUGUUCGGGUUGUCAUGCCAAUGGCACUGCCCGGUAGCUAAAUGCGGAAGAGAUAAGUGCUGAAAGCAUCUAAGCACGAAACUUGCCCCGAGAUGAGUUCUCCCUGACCCUUUAAGGGUCCUGAAGGAACGUUGAAGACGACGACGUUGAUAGGCCGGGUGUGUAAGCGCAGCGAUGCGUUGAGCUAACCGGUACUAAUGAACCGUGAGGCUUAACCUUACAACGCCGAAG